rnacentral:SRP_RNA from 1 species
GCUGGGUGUGGUGGUGCACGCCUGUAAUCCCAGCUACUUGGGAGGCUGAGGCAUGAGAAUCGCUUGAACCCGGGAGGUGGAGGUUGCAGUGAGCCAAGAUCUGCACCACUGCACUCCAGCCUGGGCAACAGAGCAAGAACCUGUCUCAA